GUGAGGAAUAUUGGACAAUGGGCGCAAGCCUGAUCCAGCCAUGCCGCGUGCAGGAAGACGCAUCUAUGGUGUGUAAACUGCUUUUGUACGGGAAGAAACACUCCCUCGUGAGGGAGCUUGACGGUACCGUAAGAAUAAGGAUCGGCUAACUCCGUGCCAGCAGCCGCGGUAAUACGGAGGAUCCAAGCGUUAUCCGGAAUCAUUGGGUUUAAAGGGUCCGUAGGCGGUUUAAUAAGUCAGUGGUGAAAGCCCAUCGCUCAACGAUGGAACGGCCAUUGAUACUGUUAGACUUGAAUUACAAGGAAGUAACUAGAAUAUGUAGUGUAGCGGUGAAAUGCUUAGAUAUUACAUGGAAUACCAAUUGCGAAGGCAGGUUACUACUUGUGGAUUCACGCUGAUGGACGAAAGCGUGGGGAGCGAACAGGAUUAGAAACCCUGGUAGUCC
rnacentral:rRNA from 1 species